rnacentral:lncRNA from 1 species
GUAAAGGACCCCAUGGAAGACCAAGAAACUACACCAAUAUAAAUGGAAGAGAAUUUAUAGUCUUUUAAAUCUCUCCAGAUUGCCCAAAUUAUGCUCAUGCUGAAAUGAAAAGGGCUUCUCUCCUCAGGGGCAUACAGGGUGAAAAGUUGGCUUUAUUGACUCCCUGUUUGAGCCACGAUGCAGGAGGUCUCUGCACAGUGAAUCAGGGGGAGAACGGGGCUGCCUCUCCACUCAUGCCUCCUCUGAGAGCAAACGUGCCAGGCAAGUACAAGCCUUAUCAGACGUCCGAGAACCCACCAAGCUGCAGACCACACCUGACCUUCCCCAAAGACACAAAACCAUGGGGAACCACUCUCCAUUAUUUCUAGAUCUGCUGCCUGUGGGCCUGCUUGUCCUUUAAACUGGAUGGUGGAGGAGCCCAUUCAGAGCCACUGUUCUUGUUGCAGUCACUCUUCAUUACUGCUCCCAGUCACAGUCAGUAAAAUAAGGGGAACCCUCUGAGACACUGGAUGCCAGCAGAAAAUUAUCAACAGCCUGGUGUUUAAUAGCAGCUCUGCUCGUAACUACUGUGUAUGUUUUUUUUUCUCUGUGAAAUGUGAUUUCUUUAGGAUAGUGAUUAUAAAGCACUGUGUUUGCUACAGAACUACCACAGUAAUAAAAAUAAUAAUACAAUCAAAUGGCAAUGCUAAUAGUGCCUUCCUUUCACAGAUCUGAAGUUUAAUGACUCAAACCUGGCAGCACUCUGGGAGACUUGAAAAAAAAGAGGUUUUCCUUGCUGUUAAAAAGGGCAAAUUAACACACAGAUGGAUUAAAUGGCGAUUCCUUCAAAGGCAGGAGCAGAACCUGCAGCCAAGGUGGGGAAACAACCCCAGUUUUCAGACCAGUGGUUACAUGCUGCCCUUCUCAGUGGUAUCAUCUUAUCAAGGAGACUCAUCACAACACACUUCUCUGUGCCAACCAGAAAAGUUGUACCAGCAUAAAACAGAGAGAGAAGGUAUCACCCUGUAACUCGAGGUGCUGUGAGGCU